rnacentral:rRNA from 1 species
CACGUAGGGUGCGAGCGUUGUCCGGAAUUAUUGGGCGUAAAGAGCUCGUAGGCGGUGUGUCGCGUCGGCCGUGAAACCUGCAGCUUAACUGUGGGCGUGCGGUCGAUACGGGCAUCACUGGAGUUCGGCAGGGAGACUGGAAUUCCUGGUGUAGCGGUGAAAUGCGCAGAUAUCAGGAGGAACACCGGUGGCGAAGGCGGGUCUCUGGGCCGAUACUGACGCUGGAGGAGCGAAAGCGUGGGAGCAAACAGG